AAAGAUCGCAGUUUUGAGUUUUUAUGUCCAAUGUUUGAUCAUCUAUUUUAUUUGAAAUUUUUUUAUGAUUAGUAUUUUUGUUAUUAUUAGAUAAUAAAAUAUGAGUGAUACUUUAUGCGUGACUAUUUUUUUUUAUAAAUUUUUCAAAUAAGACGGACGAUCAAAUGUUGGAUAACGGAGGUAGUAGCUCAUUUUCAA
rfam:Oryza punctata chromosome 5, whole genome shotgun sequence.